CCUGCACAAAAUGGCCGCCACCCCUCCGAGGCAGCCAUUUUAGGUGCCCAGACUGUGGCCUCCCUUGGGAUGGGGCUAUGUCUCCAUGGGAACCUCAGACCCUCAGCUCCCAGCUCCCUCCAUGGGGGUGGGCAGCAGAAAUGGGAGUCUUCCAGGCCUGGCUGAGGAAGAAAAGACAGGGGCAGGAAACAGACCAAGAGGGAUGAAGUUCCCCAUGCCCUCAGAUGCGGACAUCAAGACUGAGAGACCUUAUGCAACUUGCUCAAGGCAUUCAGCAUUCUUUGAAGCUAGGUGAGGAACAGAGGUGUGUGCGUCUGUGUG